rnacentral:rRNA from 1 species
UACGAAAGGCCCAAACGUUAUUCGGAAUUACUGGGCUUAAAGAGUUCGUAGGCGGCGCAGAAAGUAGGGUGUGAAAGCCCUCGGCUUAACCGAGGAAUUGCGCUCUAAACUACUGUGCUUGAGGAACCUAGAGGUGAGCAGAACUGAUGGUGGAGCGGUGAAAUGCGUUGAUAUCAUCAGGAAUACCGGAGGCGAAGGCGGCUCACUGGGGGUUUUCUGACGCUGAGGAACGAAAGCCAGGGGAGCGAACGGG